GUGGCUCAGUGGUAGAGUGCUUGCCUUGCAGGUAUGAGGCCCUGGGUUCGAUUUCUCAGC
rnacentral:tRNA from 1 species